CAGUGAUUUUAUCGUUAACAAAUACAUUACAAGAAUAAAUUCUACGCAGACUUGACAUUUUUGCAAAUAAGAAUCAUUCAUAAGCUUCGUUGUAUUUCUUCUUUCUAUCCACGAACUCCUUGUGUGACGCUCUUCUAAUGGAACAAGUUAUGAAAAAGCUUCUAAGACUAUCUACUGCCGUCACCCAUUUUGAAAUUUUCACCAGGGUGAAGGUAACAGGCCAGCGGCACAUCACUGAAUAAUAAGAUUUAUCGUUACAUAUAACGCUCAGACAGCUGAAAGGGUUAACAUGUUCGGCGCCAGGUUUCAGUCUCACGACUGCGAUAUAAAUACUGUUAGAAAUGUUUCUAAUCGUAAACGUGGAUGUUAAAUGGUGUGAAAAACAAAAAUAAAAUUAUUUGAUACGUAGA